GUUUCCGUAGUGUAGUGGUUAUCACGUUCGCUUAACACUGCGAAAGGUCCCCGGUUCGAGACCGGGCGGAAACA